UCAAAGAUUAAGCCAUGCAUGUCUCAGUACAAGCCAAAUUAAGGUGAAACCGCGAAAGGCUCAUUAAAUCAGUUAUGGUUCCUUAGAUCGUACCCACAAUUACUUGGAUAACUGUGGUAAUUCUAGAGCUAAUACAUGCAAACAGAGCUCCGACCGGAGACGGAAGGAGUGCUUUUAUUAGAUCAAAACCAAUCGGUGGCGGGUUCGCUCGUUAUCGUACAACUUGGUGACUCUGAAUAACUUUACGCUGAUCGCACGGUCAUCGCACCGGCGACGCAUCUUUCAAAUGUCUGCCUUAUCAACUGUCGAUGGUAGGUUCUGCGCCUACCAUGGUUGUAACGGGUAACGGGGAAUCAGGGUUCGAUUCCGGAGAGGGAGCCUGAGAAACGGCUACCACAUCCAAGGAAGGCAGCAGGCGCGCAAAUUACCCACUCCCGGCACGGGGAGGUAGUGACGAAAAAUAACGAUACGGGACUCAUCCGAGGCCCCGUAAUCGGAAUGAGCACACUCUAAACCCUUUAACGAGGAUCAAUUGGAGGGCAAGUCUGGUGCCAGCAGCCGCGG
rnacentral:rRNA from 1 species